rnacentral:pre_miRNA from 1 species
AGUGGGAUACCUGGGUCAAAUGGUGGUUCCAUUUAUAGUUUUUUUUUUUUUUUUUAGGAAUAUCCAUACUGCUUUCCAGAGUGGUUGCACCAAUUUGCAGUCCCAACAGCAAU